UACGAAGGGUGCAAGCGUUACUCGGAAUCACUGGGCGUAAAGCGUGCGUAGGCGGUUUCUUAAGUCUGUCGUGAAAGCCCUGGGCUCAACCUGGGAACGGCGAUGGAUACUGGGAAGCUAGAAUGUGAGAGAGGAUGGUGGAAUUCCCGGUGUAGCGGUGAAAUGCGCAGAUAUCAGGAGGAACACCGGUGGCGAAGGCGGUGGUCUGGGCCGGAACUGACGCUGAAUAGCGAAAGCGUGGGUAGCGAACAGG
rnacentral:rRNA from 1 species